UACAGAGGCCUCGAGCGUUUAGGCGGAAUCACUGGGCUUAAAGCGUGUGUAGGUGGAGUUCUAAGUACCUUGUGAAAUCCCACGGCUCAACCGUGGAACUGCUGGGUAUACUGGUUCUCUUGAGGUACCUAGGGGCGAGCGGAACAAGUGGUGGAGCGGUGAAAUGCGUAGAUAUCACUUGGAACGCCAACGGUGAAAACAGCUCGCUGGGACGGUACUGACGCUGAGGCGCGAAAGCGUGGGGGAGCAAACAGG
rnacentral:rRNA from 1 species